rnacentral:rRNA from 1 species
UACGGAGGGUGCGAGCGUUAAUCGGAAUUACUGGGCGUAAAGGGUGCGUAGGUGGUUUAAUAAGUUAUCUGUAAAAGCCCUGGGCUUAACCUGGGAAGGUCAGAUAAGACUGUUAGACUGGAGUAUAGGAGAGGGUAGUGGAAUUUCCGGUGUAGCGGUGAAAUGCGUAGAGAUCGGAAGGAACACCAGUGGCGAAGGCGGCUACCUGGCCUAAUACUGACACUGAGGCACGAAAGCGUGGGGAGCAAACAGG